UACACUUUACCAAAAAAACCGGGCCAACUCCAAAACCGGUUUGAAGCCAAAAACUUAACCUGCCUUAUCCCCCAAAUUGAAAUUAUUCAUGAUUCCCCCAAAACCCCAAAUCACACCCGCCGCUUUCUUUCAUCCCGAACCUGAAGAUCAAAUCCGGCAGCCUGUGAUUGUCCCCGCCGGUAAACUAACUGCCGCGCACCGUUGGUCUUAGCUUGAAGACGAAAGCCCACCGAAACCCAACAUCGAAAUCCUAUUUGAAGACGGAAGUCGAAACGUAGAUGAUGGACAAAGGUAUUUUACUUCUUGGUUCUACAUAGGUUUGCUCAUACAUUGAAGUGGUAGUCGAAACAUAGAUUACGUAUGCCACAAGUAGCUCUCGGAAAGAAAAAAUGAUAUAUAGGAAUCAGAUUCCGAAGAUAAAGCUUACAGGAUUUAUAACAUCAAUUAUUUCACAUGCCUCUGAUUCAACAAACUUCCCACCUAUAUAAUUAAUAACCUUCAGCUACAAUUGAACUCAGACCACCAGCAAAGAAAAGAAAAGAAAGUCAGAAGUUAGUGUCCACUGCCAUUUCGACAAGGAGCCAAGAGAAAUAUAUAGUAUAUAAAAAUGCUUAAUAGUUGAAUUUGUAGCCAAUUUAGAGGCCAAAUGAUGGUGAAAAAAUAUCCAUAUUUUACUCAAUUUAAGUGCAAGAGUGUAGUAAAAUAGUAUCUUCAUUAUAGAAAUUCAUAAAUAAUUUUUUUUUUUUCCCAUCUGAGGCAGGUUAAUUAAUGUUAGUGGCAGCGUCUUGGUUUUGGUUACAUAUAAUUUGCAACUUCUAACAAAAUUAAAAAUUUUUUUGCAGGAAAAGAGAUUAUGAAAGAUGAGAAUCAUGAUUUGUUGGUAGAAUGUGAUAACGAGAACACAAUGGCCAAUUUGAACACACUGGACAACGGACAAUUAGGAAAAGAUGCUGCAACUACACCCGAGGUGGGUAUGAUGCUUAAUAGUGAAAAAUAGAUGUUGGAAUUCUACAAAAGAUAUGCUUAUACCGUAGAUUUUCCAGUGAGGAUAAUGUCAUGUGGCAUCUUUUACACUGUGCCAGUUUCUUAUUUUACCGUUUAGCAGAUACAUUUCAAUACAAAUUGUCUUGUAGAAUCAUAGCAACCUAAAAUUAUCACACUUUGUUUUCUGCAGAACCAACUCUCUCAGCUGCAUGACUUGUUGAAGUUGUUCAAUGACUUGUUGGGUGCAGUAAUUUAAGGUCACAUUCUCAUUUUCUGGCAAUUCAUGUCACCUGGGCAAUUGGUUUACUGGAUUUGAAUGACGCUAGUGAAUGCAUAAACCCCAAAGUUGAUGUAAUUUGUUUGUGGUGAACUGGGCUUAUUUGAACAACUUAGCUUGGUAGUGAUGUAAUUGGCUUAUUUAUUUAUUUUCCUUUUUUCAGUCAAUUGUAUAUUUGAACAACUUUUUCUAUCAUUGAUUUUUAUUAAUUUUAGCAUAAUUUAGGAUUUUGAUAAUCAAAAACCUUAUAGUUAAUUGUUACUCCAUUAUGGUUGGCACUGGUGAUAUCAGAAUGAUCGAUCAUGAAGUCCAUUAUUGUGUCAUAAAUUUUUUAUCAGUAAAUUGAUGAGUCAAAACUACAUAAAUUUAUAUCAUACAACAUAG
rnacentral:lncRNA from 1 species